AUGGGGAGACGGGCCGAGGCGAAGCGGGCGGGCCGGGCGUCGGGGCGGGCGAGGGGCUCCUUCCUUCCUGCGGUCGCAGCCCAGGGGCUGCCGGAGCUCCGAGACGGAGGCGGUGGACGAGUAGGAGGCGGAGGCGGAGGCGGAGGCGGCAGCGGCGGCGGCGGCGCCUUUCCAAUAUGGCGGCGCCGGCUGACGUCACUGGAGGAUGUGGCACGGCGGCGGCGGGGCGGGACGGGAGAGCGCCGGAAGCGGCGGGCAGGGACCCGGGGGCCGGGUCCGGCUGUCUACGACCCUCCCUCCUUCCCCCGGGUCUCCCCUGGCGCUCUCCCUUUUCUUGGGGUUCCUUCGCCGCCCGGCCCGCCGCCCCCUUCCCGUGACGUGUCCUUCCUCCGCCCGCCUUCCCCUGUGUCCCCCAAAGAACCGGGGCUGGAGCCAGAGUCUGGCAAGGCCCCAGCGAAUCCCGGCAGCCCUGGCCUCGCGAGGGUGAACCCUGCUCCGUCUGGAGCUGUCCCUUUAGCACCCCAGACACCACCGUCCUCGGAGUUGGCCUCGCCCGGGGCUGCAGAGACCCGGCUUGGAAUCCGGGGUCCCCACGAGUCACUGGAAGGACUUUGCUCACCGCUGAUGGGGCGGGGAGAGGGCGCGCGCUCUGCCCACAUUCCCAGACCCUUCAGAAGGAGCAGCUGCGUUUAAAUGGCCUGAAAGCGGACUUUUAGUUUUUCAGGGUGUAUUACGGUAUGAAAAGAGAGAUCGUUCACUCUGAGGGAAGCCAGCUGCCAUAUCAUGAAGACAUCCAAGCAGCCUUAUGAAAAGGUCUAGUUGGGGGGAAACUGAGGCCUCCUGCCCAACAGCCAUGUGAGUCAGCCAUCUUGGAAGUGGAUCCCAGCCCCAGUCAAACCUUUAGUUAACAUCUUAAUUGAAACCUCAUGAAUGUCUGAACCUCUACCACUGAACAUACACAGAGAAUUUGUCCUCCUCCCCAUGUCCCCAUCUGUCAUGGCAUAAUUCUAAUACAGCCCUCAUAAUUCUUGCUGCCCUAGUAUCUACACUUUUGUGUAAUCCCCUCUCCUUCAGUGUGAACAGACUUUGUGACUUACUUCUAACCACUAGAAUAUGGCAAAAGGGAGGGAAUGUUGCAGAUGUAAUUAAGGUCCUUAAUAAAUUCACUUUGAGUUAAUCAAAGGAGAGAUUAUCCUGGGUGGGCCUGCAUAAUCAGGUGGUGUAAUCACUUUCCCUUGAAAGUGGAUCCAUCCCUUCCCUAAUUAGAGAGACUUGAGUCAGCUGAGACAUUCUCUUGAUCGCUCUCAAGACACUCUCUCUUGAGGAAGACAGCCAUGUCGUGAAUUGCCUAUGGAGAGCAGUAACCUCCAAGAGUUGAUGGUCUCAGUCUUACAACUACAGCAACUGAAUUACUCCAACAACAUGUAUGAGCUUGGAAGAAGACCCCAAUCUCCAGAUGAGAAUGUAGCCCAGCCAACACUUUGAUCACAACCUUGUGAGACUCUGAGCAAAGAAUCCAGUUAAGCUAUGCCAAACUCCUGACCAAUGGAAACUCUGAAAUAAU